rnacentral:rRNA from 1 species
UACGUAGGAUGCAAGCGUUGUUCGGAAUUAUUGGGCGUAAAGAGCUCGUAGGCGGCUUGUCACGUCGGCUGUGAAAUCCCGUGGCUCAACUGCGGGUCUGCAGCCGAUACGGGCUAGCUAGAGUUCGGUAGGGGAGACUGGAAUUCCUGGUGUAGCGGUGAAAUGCGCAGAUAUCAGGAGGAACACCGGUGGCGAAGGCGGGUCUCUGGGCCGAUACUGACGCUGAGGAGCGAAAGCGUGGGGAGCGAACAGG